AAUGAAUUAUCUUCCUUUGUGAAUAAUAACUCAUUGCAACAAAUUAUGGCCAAUCUCUGAUGCGAGGAGAAUAUCCCAUAAAGACCACAGCUGUUCAGGUCAAACACUGUUUUAUAUAUAAUUUUGCAAAAGAACUCUCUCAAUGAAUUAUCUUCCUUAUUGAAUGAUAACUCAUGACAACAAAUUAUGGCAAAUCUAUGAUGCGAGGAGAAUAUCCCAUAAAAACAGCUGUUCAUGCCAUAAAUGUUAUAUAUAUUUUUCAUUCUAAUAUGCAGAAGAACUCUCUCAAUGAAUUAUCUUCCUUAGUGAAUAAUAACUCAUGACAACAAAUUAUGGCCAGUCUUUGAUGCGAGGAGAAUAUCCCAUUAAGACAACAGCUGUUCAGGUCAAACACUGUUUUAUAUAUAUAUAUUUUUCAUUCUAAUAUGCAGAAGAAAUCCCUCAAUGAAUUAUCUUCCUUUGUGAUUAAUAACUCAUGACAACAAAUUAUGGCCAGUCUCUGAUGCGAGGAGAAUAUCCCAUAAAGACAACAGCUGUUCAGGUCAAACACUGUUUUAUAUAUA